UUUUUAUAUUGUUAUUUCCCAAGUUUAAUGGAAAUAUAAUAACAAUCUCCCUUUCAUUUUUUACUUUUUGAGGUAGUGGUGAGAGGAAUUUGAUUUUAUUGUAAAUCUAGAAGAAAAAAUAGUCAAGAAUAGCAAAGUUCAAUUUUUAGAAAGGAGUGACUAGUCUUAUCAAAUAUUAAAAUAUAUAAUAAAGUUAUAAUAAUUAAAACCAUACUGGCACCAAAAUAAAUAUAUUAAUGAGGCAAAACAUGUGGGCAAAUAAAUUAUAUGUAAAAAUGAAAUAUUUGAUAAUGGCUGGACCACAGAUUAAAGGAGAGGGAAAAUGUUUUGCAAUAUAUGGACUAAUGGAAAAAAAAUCAGCUUUUACACUCAUUAUGUACAUAAAAUACAUUACGCAAACUCAAACCUUAGGAAGUCUAAUGAGACUUUAUUUUAUAGGCUUAAAACAUUGUAACAAAAUUGCAAAGUGAACAGUAAAAUAGAUUUGAUUAUAUUAAACACUUGAUUAGUUAAAACAACAAUGUAACAAGCAAAGGGUGGCCUAUGUGCAAUUGUAAUUAUUUGAACAUAAUAACAAAGAGUUGAUAUGAUUUCACAAGAGCUCAUACAAACUCAUACUUAAUCAAUAUAUGAGAUAAGAAUGAAAUCACAUUUCAUAAAAUAUGAAAUAUAACACAUUUGCAAGCACAUAAAAAUCCAGCCUUAAUAACAAUCAAAUGAAUAUACACUAAAACAAAAAAAAAUGAGUUAUGUUUAGGUUUAAUCAACUAUUUAAAAUUGAUGUCAAGGACUUACACUUUCAGCUGUUACAUUUAGAUCAGCUCAUCCUAUAAGGACAAGUAGAACAAAUAGAAAAGUUGAAUAAAAUCUACCAAACGUUUGUUUAAAAGCACUGGAGAGCUCCACAGUGGAGAGGGCUUGAGAGCAGAGAAUUUAAGAGAGAUCCUAACUGCCUGUCAGAAACUAAAGUAAAACAUCACUUAAAGAAGAGAUGAUCUUCCAGAGGUCUAAAUUAUCUCUACAAUUUUUCACACACAAUGUCUGGCAUUCAAUAAAAUUACCAGGCAUACCAGAAGACAAGAUAAAAUGACUGAAAACAGAGCUAGAGGAGAUCCAGAUAUAGGAGUAACAAAUUUUAAAAUAUCUAUGCUAUCUUUUAAAAAUUAUAUAAGGAGAUAGAAAAUUUCAACAGAUUACUAUUAACUGUGAUAAAGAAUCAAAUGGAAAUUCCAACUCAAUAGUUGGAUAUAAGAGCAGAUUAGAAAUCCUUGAAGAACAAACUUAUGAGCAAUAGAAAGUUUGAUGUUAAUACCUAACAAAGUCAGAAAAGGUGUAUUGGAAAAUGGUUUCUCUCAUGUAACUGGUGACAUGUAAACCUAUAUACCACUUUUUGGAAAUACUUUGAUAAUGUGAAUUCACUAUUUGAACAAAAAAAUUUAUAUCUUUUAACCCAGUAAUCUUAUCUCUGGGAAUGUGCCAUAGGAAAUAAGUUUUUAAAUCCACAGUGCCUCAUGUAUGAAGAUAUUCACUACAGACUUAUGAUAGUAAUAACUAUCUACAGACAAUGUUUAAAUACUUUAUUUCAAUUAAUGCAGGUUAAUCCUCACAACAAUCUAUGGUGCUAGUGAACAUUACUAUCCUCAUUGUACAGAUGAGAAAACUGAAACAUUGAGAAGUCAAGUAACUUGCUCCAGAUUAUAUAGCUAGUGCAUAGAGGGGCAAGGAUUUGAACCAGACUGCCUGGUUCCACAUGCACUUUAACCUGCUUUAUUUAGGCUUUUGAAAGCAACCUAAAUAGCUAACAUUCGCUAAAUAAGUGCAGUAUACCUGGUCUGUGUGACAUUUUGCAGGUAUUAAAAAGUGAACAUUCUGAACCCUUUUAGCAACAUGGCAAAUACUUCUGAUGUGAUGUAUGCAUAUAAAUAUGAUCAAAAGCAAAUAUCCCAAAAGGUUAAUGGCAGUUAUGUCAGGUUAGUAGCACAAUAGUUUCUUUUCUCAUUUUCUCACAUUUUUAGUAAUGUGUGUUGCCUAUAUUAAAAAACAAAUAUUAAAAAGUAGUAGCAUGUAUUGGAUCAGAGCAUGGGCUCAGACUGCCUGUGUCAUCUCUUACUAGAUGUAUGACCAGGGACAAGUUAUUGACCUUUUGUUUCUAAGUCUCUAAGUUUAUCCUGUAAAAUGAAGAAAAUUGUAGUAACUACCUAGUAACAUGAUUGUAAGGAUUAAAUUAUUUAGAACACUAUUUGUUACUUGGAAAAUAUGCAAUCAUAAGCUAUUUUGUUGUUAUUGUUAUUUUACUACCAAAGCUUAUUGUUUCAGAGCCCCUAGGUGACCAGGCAAAAUGGCAGUUCCCUCCAGCUGGUCCUCAGAUGGGCACAUCUAUUAGCCUCUGCUCUUGUAAGAAGUUACCUGCAGAACCCACGUGUGAAUCCUUGUAGGUGGAAGAGUAAACUGUUCCUGUUUCUCCAUCUUGGCAGGAAGCAGAAGUUCUCCUUAGCUGAUUUUUCUUCUUGCCUUAUACUGGGUUCUUUAACACCAGAACAAAAAUAAAUAAAUAAAAGAAUCUUCCAGAAAUUCAUGAAGAGACUUCAGUCUGGGAAUAGAUCACAGGAAUUUUAGUUUGCUGGUUUCCUGCUGCCUUAGGUCAGGAAAGCCUGAACUUUCUCAUCCAACACCUGUUCAAGUCGGAGGAUGCUGAUUAAUUCAUGAUGGAAAGGUAUCAAUUUCACAGUCCAGACCUCUACAUUCUUGAAAUGCUCUUCUCAUGGGAGAUAUUAAAUAAGCUUUGAAUUAACUGAAGAACCAAUGAUGUGAUCCCUGGAUACUGGCAAUUGUUGCCCAAGAAACCCUCUCCCCUUGCUAUGGGACUGCUGGGCACCCAAAUAAUGCACCCAAAUAAUUUGAUAGCUCUUGUUACACAGCUCUUCUUGGACUAAAAGGCCCUCAGCAUUCCUGUCAAUUUCUACACUCCUGAAGCUUCAUCUGGAGACCUCUGUGGAUUCUAUAACUGAAAGACCCAGGCUGACGGCUGGUGGAAUAGCUACCAUCUCAAACAUGGCGUGAUGCUGCAUCAGAGAGAAAAAUAAGCUCUUGCAUUGGCAAUGAAAUGUCUACCCUGUAGUGACUUGUGCUUACUUCCACUCACAAGUGAUUGCCCAGAGCUACUUACCUGGCUCCAAUCUACCACUGGGUGUGUACUUGCAAUCUACCAUGUACCUAGAAGAUGAGAGAAACAAAUUAUUAAUGAUGACCACACCCCAAGACUAACAACAAUUGCAGAAGAAUCAAUGACUUAAACAAAAAUGUGGCCAUUGAAGGAAUAGAAAAUAUAGUGAGUUUAGUGUAAAUUUAAAAGUGACUUAUAAGUAGCAUACAAAAUCCAGAAACUAUAAGAAAACAGAUUCACAAAUAUAAAUAUAUAAAGCUUUAAAAAAGUUUAAUGUAACAAAAAUGGCAUAAAAGGAGUCAAAAGUUUUUAAAAAAUAUGUUAAUGCAGUAGAUUAGGUGCUAAUUUUCUUAAUAUACUAAUAACUCAAUAAGAGAAAUUUUGUAUCUAGAAGAAAAUGAACAUGGAAAUAGGCAAUUCACAGGUAAUGGCAUUCAUCUGGCGAAUAAAAAAUGUGUGACAUUCAGAAUAAAAUAAAAAUGAAAUACUGGUUUUCAGCCAUCACUUGAGCAAAACUGCAAAGAUACAAUGAGACUCAGGCAUUCCCAUAUACUGUGGAUGGGAGGGCAAAGACCUUUAACCUCUAAUUUUAUUUCUAUUUUUAAACAUGUAUGUUAAAAUUUUAAAUGCUAAUGUCCUCUUGACCCAAUAAUUUUAUGUCUAAGAUUUGAAUCUGGAGAUAAUCUUGAACAAAUGCAUCCAGAUUUAUGUAUAAGUGUUAAUGUAGUUUAGAUGUGUGUUCCCACCCAAAUCUCAUAUUGAAAUGUAAUCCCCAGUGUUGGAGGUGGGUCCUGGUGUGAGGUGAUUGGAUUAUGGGGGUGAAUUUCUCAGAAAUGGUUUAACAUCAUCCCCUAUGGCCCUGUCCUUGCAUAGUGAGGUGAGUUCUUCUGAGAUCUGGUCAUUUAAAGUGUGCAGCACCUCCCCGCCUCACUCUCUCUUGCUCCUGCUUUUGCUAUGUGAUGUGUGAGCUAGUGCUGUGCCUUACACUAUGAUUUGAAGCUCCCUGAGGCCUCCCCAGAAGGAGAUGCUGCCAUGCUUCCUGUACAGCCUGCAGAAUUGUGAGCCAAUUA